AUUGAACGCUGGCGGCAGGCCUAACACAUGCAAGUCGAGCGGAUGAAGGGAGCCUGCUCCUGGAUUCAGCGGCGGACGGGUGAGUAAUGCCUAGGAAUCUGCCUGGUAGUGGGGGAUAACGUCCGGAAACGGGCGCUAAUACCGCAUACGUCCUGAGGGAGAAAGUGGGGGAUCUUCGGACCUCACGCUAUCAGAUGAGCCUAGGUCGGAUUAGCUAGUUGGUGGGGUAAAGGCCUACCAAGGCGACGAUCCGUAACUGGUCUGAGAGGAUGAUCAGUCACACUGGAACUGAGACACGGUCCAGACUCCUACGGGAGGCAGCAGUGGGGAAUAUUGGACAAUGGGCGAAAGCCUGAUCCAGCCAUGCCGCGUGUGUGAAGAAGGUCUUCGGAUUGUAGAGCACUUUAAGUUGGGAGGAAGGGCAGUAAGUUAAUACCUUGCUGUUUUGACGUUACCAACAGAAUAAGCACCGGCUAACUUCGUG
rnacentral:rRNA from 1 species